GUGGGGGAAAGGGGGAGGGGAAGGGAGGAGAGGGAGAGAGGGAUGGCAGGAACAGAGGAAUUUGUGGAAGCAGAUAAUGCAGAGGCCAUAAUCAACAGAAUCGAACAAAAAUCUUGAAAGAUCGAGAGCUUACUCAAACUGUACAAGACAGUUGAAGCUCUAAAAAGGUACAAGACAGUUGAAGCUCUAAAAACUGCUCUUGAAGGCUCGUCUCUCAACACCAAAGACGAGCGCUGCAAGUCUGCAAAUUGGAUAAUGGUGCAUACAGCUAUCAUGGCUAUUAAAGAUGUGGAUGCAAUGUUUUCUUCUUUGGAUCCCGAGUGCUAUGAAAUUCUCAUGAAAUGAGGUAUUUUUCUUACCUUUUCUUUCUUUCCUUACCGAUACGGAAGCCGCUCCGCUCGUCCCUCUUUUGAGGAGGGACUUCGCUUCACUCUCCUUGAAGAAACCAAGUUUGCGGUUACGUAUAUGAUAACCUAGAAGCAUCAGCUUCUAAGGGUGUCAUUCAUUGCAUGUGGUGGGAAGUUCAGAGUAGAUCAACAAAACGUAUGUGCAAUUCCAUGCGGGUUACUUGGUCUAACUAAGGCCUAUCACGUUGUAUCUUGUAGAAUAGCUACUUUCAGAAACAAAUUGAUAGACAAAUGGCAGAGGAAGACGGAGUUGACCACUGGCGCUGCUGAUAUUAAAAGCGAGCCGCAUACUUUUAAUCAGAUAUCACUAGGAAUUCAUCUUUCUUUUUCCAAUAGCAGAAUAUUAGUGAACAAGUUGCUUCUUAUAUAAAAGACCCAAGCAGAAUGGUUGGGCAGAUGCAGAUGUGGAAAUUAGCAGUUUCUGUAUUUGGCACUGUUCCUGUGGGAGAGAACACUGCAAAGGGAAAGGUACUGAUUGCAUAUAAUUGUGGUUAACUAUAAUUCUAUACUAAUCUGAGGACCCAUUUAUAAAUUCAUUGGAAUUAAAUG